AUAGACUGCUGAAUGUUCAAACUGUGUUCAAAUAAGACUGUGUCAGAAGCAGAAUCUGAAGUGGAGCUUCUAGUAUCCCCAGGAGCGCGAAGUGAACACGGAAGGUACCUGCAGGAUCCAAUUGUGUCCGUUGAUCUCUCAGAGUGGCUGAGGAUAAUAGAGUUUCUUCUUCAAGGUCUCAAGGUCUGAAGCAUCCCACAGAAUGAUCCUACUGAAUAACUCCCAUAAGCUGCUGGCCCUAUACAAAUCCUUGGCCAGGAGCAUCCCUGAGUCCCUGAAGGUCAGGGAACAGUGGGAGGUCAGGGUAUGGGAGUAGGGGUGUUGAGGAUGAGAAAAUAGUAGGCUUGUGAUUCUAGUCCUUCCUGACUGUUUGCAGAGGGUUGGAGCUGGGAAACAGGAUGGGACUGGGGGCACAGGCUGCAUAUCAAGAGCUGCUGCUUCUCUUUGGGAAGAGGCAGCUAGGUCCACUCUGCAGGUUUUGCCACUCAUUUGGAGAGGCAGUGGAGCAUGGUGGCUAUGAACAUGGUUUGGAGCCUGUCUGAAUGGAUAUGCAUUCCAAGGCUGCCAUUUUCUAGUCAGAUGGCUUUGUG
rnacentral:sRNA from 1 species